GCUUCAUUGGUCCUUUUGAGAUCACUUCUGUCCGCAGCCCCUCUGCAGUUCGUCUCCGGCUUCCUGUGGGGUUAAAGAUCCACCCUGUUUUCCAUGUUUCCCUCAUCAAGCCAGUCCGUUCUAGUUCUCUUUGCCCUCCUUCCGAGCCUCCGCCGCCUGCCCAGGAUAUAGAUGGUCAUCCGGCAUACGACGUUUCGGCUAUCCUGGAUGUUCGCCGGCGUGGGCGAGGAGUUCAGUAUCUGGUGGACUGGCGGGGUUAUGGUCCUGAGGAGCGGUCAUGGGUUCCCCGUUCCAUUAUUUUGGAUCCCGAACUUAUUAGGGACUUCGAGGCAUCUCGUGGUUCAUCAUCUUCCCGACCACCGGGUGGCGGUCUUUGAAGGGGGGGUAGUGUCAGAGUUUCGGUGUGAGAGCGUGUGCAUGAGAGUGUGAGUGCGAGUGUUACAUCUUCUUUCAGCGAGGAUCUUCGUGAGGGGUCUGUGGAGCCAGCGCAGGUGAAGCUGAUCUGCCUCAUCAGCGUGCUGGAAUAUAGGAGCGGCAGAAUCCUUCAGUCUUCGCUAGAUGGUUAACGCAUACCAAACUUGCCGAGAAUACCUGCCUGCCUGCUCCGCCGUUUCCACCGACCCCCCUCUCGCUCCUACCACCCGCGAUCCCGCCUUGCACUCUCCCUCGGCACCGUAGCACUCCCUCGCGCCGGACCCUGGCACCUCACCCCCACGCUCUGGAAGAUCCACGCCAAAAUGUAAGAAAGUUCCUGAUUCCUCCUCUACACUCUCUCACUCCGAGCCCAUUAUAAUUCAGCUCUUGUUUCAGGCCACCUGGUCGGGCGACCCUCGCCCUCCUGCCGAAGUCCAGAGAACUGAAUAUAAUUUGUCCUGUUGUAAAUAAAUCACUUACCUUUUCCA